rnacentral:rRNA from 1 species
ACCCGCUGAACUUAAGCAUAUCAAUAAGCGGAGGAAAAGAAACCAACAGGGAUUGCCUUAGUAACUGCGAGUGAAGCGGCAAAAGCUCAAAUUUUAAAUCUGGCGCCUCUGGCGUCCGAGUUGUAAUUUGAAGAGACAUCUUCGGAUUGGGCACCGUUCUAAGUUCCUUGGAACAGGACGUCACAGAGGGUGAGAAUCCCGUAUGUGGACGGCUGUCUUAAUUCAUGUGAAGUGUCUUCGACGAGUCGAGUUGUUUGGGAAUGCAGCUCAAAAUGGGUGGUAAAUGUCAUCUAAAGCUAAAUAUUGGCGAGAGACCGAUAGCGCACAAGUAGAGUGAUCGAAAGAUGAAAAGCACUUUGAAAAGAGAGUUAAAAAGUACGUGAAAUUGUUGAAAGGGAAGCGCUCAAGACCAGACUCAAUUUGUAGUGAUCAGCAGUGCUUUUGUGCUGUGCACUUGCUACUUAUUGGGACAGCAUCGGUUUGAAUGGUGGGAUAAAGGCCUGAGGAAUGUAGCUCUCUUCGGGGAGUGUUAUAGCCUCAGGCGAAAUGCCAUCUAUUCAGAUCGAGGAUCGCGCUGCGGCUAGGAUGCUGUCAUAAUGGUCUUCAGCGACCCGUCUUGAAACACGG